rnacentral:rRNA from 1 species
GACAGAGGGUGCAAACGUUGUUCGGAAUUACUGGGCGUAAAGCGCGUGUAGGCGGCUAAGUAAGUCGGGCGUGAAAUCCCACGGCUCAACCGUGGAAGUGCACUCGAAACUGCAUAGCUAGAGUCCUGGAGAGGAAGGUGGAAUGCUUGGUGUAGAGGUGAAAUUCGUAGAUAUCAAGCGGAACACCGGUGGCGAAGGCGGCCUUCUGGACAGUGACUGACGCUGAGACGCGACAGCGUGGGGAGCAAACAGG